CAAAAGAGAAGACAAAAAUAAAUUCAUAUUUACACUGCUGGGUUUUAAAAGAAUGAAAUAAUAACUCACUAAGUUCUUAAUAUUGUUCUUGAAUAUACAGGGUAUUUGCCAAUGUCUAUAACUGUGUGUGGUUUAUUUCUAAUAUGAUGCAACCCGUAACCUGCAUUCUGCUUAAUAUUGCAGUGUGAGCUAUCUUUAUCCAUUAUUUAUUGUAUUCAGAUAUGAGGAGGAUCAGAAUAUUAGACAGAAGGAGCACAGUGGCUUUGAGGAUGAGUUGUAGAAAUGAGAUGAAACAGAGUAGUAAAACCAGCAGUGCAUAAGUGUCUGGAUUGAGAAUUGCUGAAGGGGAGAUCCAGGACUGGUUGGGAGUUGCCCUGGCAAUGUUGUUGCCCUGGCCUUGGAAAGGUGAAUGCAGGUCCCUGGGGCUUCUGGUGAGAGAUCCCCACUAAAGCCAGGGAGGCAUUAGUGCCAUUGUGCAAGGCCCUAAAGCACCUUAUCAGGAAUAAUGUGUAUGAUUCUCUGUCCAUUUUAUAGAAGUGACUUUAGAUUGGAACAGGUUCAGAGGACAGAUAAUGCGUCUGGGAGAAUAGGAAAGAGGAGAUGAUGUAUCGUGGCAAAACAAAAUGACAGAAGACCGAAGAACAGAUACAAAAGUUUAAGUAUAGUAUACUUCCUGAUUGAUAAAUACGUAUAAUUUCUGUUGACUUGAUGUAAUUUCUGUUCCUACAUGUAAUUUCUUAACAAUCAACAGUGACUGCACUGUCAUUUUUCAGGUGGUGAGGGACUUUAUGAGCAACAGGGAGGAAAUACAUGUUUUUUAAAGUAAAAGAUUAUGUUAGUUCAAGAAAAGUGUUUGGAAAUUAAUAACAGAUAUAUUUCAAGAGAAAUUUACAGAUUCCUAAUUCUGAGGACAGUUUGUAACAUGUAUCCAGCAGAAUUAAGUGAGGACAAAAUGAUUUUACUGCUUUAAAGCUGGAGCUCAAGACAAAAUGAUUCUAUACAGUGUUGCUUUUAACAUUAAAGGACAGGACUCAAUUCAGAAAAUCCCUUUAGUUUUUCUGUUCAUCUUUGUCUUUUAGAUAUCUUGCCGUCUGAAAAGUAAUAAUAAACCAAAUCACUGCUGUGGAAGGAAUUUAAAAUCCUUCCGUCUGAAGUUGUCUGAAAGUAAUAAUGAUUUGGAGGUCUUUUGAAGAAGAGUAGCUUCUAAACAAAUCUGUCAGAUACUGAUUUAAGUCUCUGUUUAGUCUACAGCAGUGAAAUUGCUUUGAAUAGAAAAUACAUGAUAAAAUAUGUGUAAUGGGUCUUGUCAAAAAGCUUUUUCAUUCUGUUUCACAUUUUCCAAUAGCAGACAAUCUCCACUGCAUUUAAUAAAAAGUAAUAAAAUUUCUGAAGCCAGAACUGAUUCGUGGUUGAUUUAAAAGAAAGUUUAUUACCUCUCUUUGCAGUAUACUGCUCAUUCUCUGCAUCUAGAAGUCAGUGGUUAAAUAAAGUCUCUCUGAGAGGAAUUUUCCAUUGUGAGUCAUAAGCAUUGGAUUGACAACCUUUAUAGACAUUUAAAUGCAGUCCUAUUAAACAAUACACUUCUAUAAACGCUGAAGGAUAAAUAUCUUUUGCUGGGUGUGGGGGCAUUAAGGUGCAGUACCUGAGAGAACGACUUGUGGAGAGUUUAUGUAGCUGUGAGAAAGCCAUAAGGCUGGGAUCUGCCUGGGUGGAACACCUGUAGUAUCCCAUCAGGAGGACAGGAUAUUUAAUGGUACAGAGCCCAUCAGCCAGCAGCAAUUACCUAAAUGGUGUUUGCCCACAGGAAUAAAGCAAUGGCCACAUAAAUAAAGAGUUGUUGGGUUUCUUUCAAUAUCACAUUAGAGCUGGAUAUUUCUCUCACAAACAUCACUUGAAACAAGAAUUUCAGUAAAAUGAAAAUAACUAUCGCAAUACUUUCUGGCCUGUAUUUUGAAUGUACAAAAUUUAGAAAAAAAAUGUCCUCUAAACUCAUUUUGUUUCAUCAGCUUUGUCUCCCAUAGCUAUCAGUUUGGCUUAAUUUUGAGUUUUCCCGUAAUAUAGACUCUGGAUACCCUGUAAGUGAAAAAUGUAAUUGUGUGGAAAAUUAUUAAAAAUUUCAAACACCACUGCUGUCACAAAAAAAGAUGAUGCAUAGGGGAAAUUACUGUUUCCCAUAUUGAAAAUAAUUAGCAAAUGUAAUGCCAGUCAACCCACUUGGGAUGCUGAGCAUACACAUGAAGGAGAAAACUAGAGAGAUCACAGGUAAUGAUGCACAGGAAGAAUGCUGAGAAGAGAAUAUGCAAAGAUGCUGGGCAGCUUUCUGGAGCAACAGAGAAGGCAUCACCAGCAGCAAGGAUGCAUCCUGUCCACUUGGGUAAAGGAAAGCUCUCAUGAGAGAAGAAACAUUUACUUUCAACAAUCUUGUAGAGCAUCAUUUGUAUUUGGCCUUUCCAAUGGAUUUUGUACUGGAACUUCUGCAGCAGCAAAGGCUGUAACUGAACUUCGAAUGUGGCUUUACUAUCUGGAUGAGAUUUAUAGCCCGGGGCCUUAGGACAGGCAGGAUUUCCAAGUUGCAUUUUAUUGGAAAGCUUGGGAUAGCGCUGCUUCUUCACAUGGGUUUUUGAAAUCACUGCUGGUCGUGCAAGAUAAGUUGAAUCCAAAUGUCCCACUCUCAAAGUCCUGAUGUAUUUGCGAGUUUUGUAAGCAGUUGAUUUAUAAAUGUAAAUCUCUUCCUAUGGUAAACAUUUGCAAUGAAUCAGAGAGAUCUACAGUGGGUGCAUCUUGAGUUCAAUAGAUGAGACUUCAAAGGCACUGCAAUCAUGACUGGUUCUCCGGUGUGUAGUCUUACCUGCAGUGAAGUAAAUAUUUUUACUAAAAAAAGGUAUGAGAAUAUUUCCAGACCCAAAACCAGCCAUAGCUCAGUAUGCAACUCUUUUGUAUGCUCUUUUCAGACACUUCUGACUUAAAAUUCUAAAUUGUUCUAUGAAAUCUCUUUUCAGUUUUCUAGCAAGAAGACUUAAGCCUCUCUCGAGUUUAAUUACAGACAGUGAAGGUACAGAGACUUGGUCAUCAGUAUGACGAUUUUUUAAAAUUUAUUAAAUGUAUUAAAUGAAGAAAUUUAAAAUUAUUCUGCUUCGUUUGUGCCAUAUUUUUACCAGGAUGUUAACAGAAUCUUUCUUGGUGGUUAAAUACUGAUGAAAAUAAAUCUGGAUGAAUCUUC